rnacentral:rRNA from 1 species
UACGUAGGGUGCAAGCGUUAAUCGGUAUUACUGGGCGUAAAGCGUGCGCAGGCGGCUUUGCAAGACAGAUGUGAAAUCCCCGGGCUUAACCUGGGAACUGCAUUUGUGACUGCAUGGCUAGAGUGCGGCAGAGGGGGAUGGAAUUCCGCGUGUAGCAGUGAAAUGCGUAGAUAUGCGGAGGAACACCGAUGGCGAAGGCAAUCCCCUGGGCCUGCACUGACGCUCAUGCACGAAAUCCAGGGGAGCGAACGGG